rnacentral:rRNA from 1 species
UAGGGAAUCUUCGGCAAUGGACGAAAGUCUGACCGAGCAACGCCGCGUGAGUGAAGAAGGUUUUCGGAUCGUAAAACUCUGUUGUUAGAGAAGAACAAGGACGUUAGUAACUGAACGUCCCCUGACGGUAUCUAACCAGAAAGCCACGGCUAACUACGUGCCAGCAGCCGCGGUAAUACGUAGGUGGCAAGCGUUGUCCGGAUUUAUUGGGCGUAAAGCGAGCGCAGGCGGUUUCUUUAGUCUGAUGUGAAAGCCCCCGGCUCAACCGGGGAGGGUCAUUGGAAACUGGGAGACUUGAGUGCAGAAGAGGAGAGUGGAAUUCCAUGUGUAGCAGUGAAAUGCGUAGAUAUAUGGAGGAACACCAGUGGCGAAGGCGGCUCUCUGGUCUGUAACUGACGCUGAGGCUCGAAAGCGUGGGGAGCAAACAGG